rnacentral:rRNA from 1 species
UACAGAGGUCUCAAGCGUUGUUCGGAUUCAUUGGGCGUAAAGGGUGCGUAGGUGGCGCCGUAAGUCAGGUGUGAAAUUUCGGAGCUUAACUCCGAAACUGCAUUUGAUACUGCGGUGCUUUGAGGACUGGAGAGGAGACUGGAAUUUACGGUGUAGCAGUGAAAUGCGUAGAGAUCGUAAGGAAGACCAGUGGCGAAGGCGGGUCUCGUGGACAGUUCCUGACACUGAGGCACGAAGGCCAGGGGAGCAAACGGG